rnacentral:rRNA from 1 species
AACGAACGCUGGCGGCGUGCCUAACACAUGCAAGUCGUGCGAGAAAGUUUCCUUCGGGAAGCGAGUAAAGCGGCGCACGGGUGAGUAACACGUAGGUAACCUACCUUUCAGUCCGGAAUAACCAGCUGAAAAGCUGGCUAAUGCCGGGUAAGACCACGACCUCUACGGGGGUCGCGGCCAAAGGCGGCCUCUUCAUGAAAGCUGAUGCUGAGAGAUGGGCCUGCGCACCAUAGCUAGUUGGUGAGGUAAUAGCUCACCAAGGCUUUGAUGGUUAGCUGGUCUGAGAGGAUGACCAGCCACACUGGGACUGAGACACGGCCCAGACUCCUACGGGAGGCAGCAGUGGGGAAUAUUG